GAUGAAGAACGUAGCGAAAUGCGAUAAGUAAUGUGAAUUGCAGAACUCAGUGAAUCAUCGAGUCUUUGAACGCACAUUGCGCCCCCUGGUAUUCCGGGGGGCAUGCCUGUCCGAGCGUCAUUGCUGCCCUCAAGCACGGCUUGUGUGUUGGGCCUCCGUCCUCCUCCCGGGGGACGGGCCCGAAAGGCAGCGGCGGCACCGCGUCCGGUCCUCGAGCGUAUGGGGCUUCGUCACCCGCUCUUGUAGGCCCGGUCGGCGCUUGCCGACACAUCAAUCUUUUUUCCAGGUUGACCUCGGAUCAGGUAGGGAUACCCGCUGAACUUAAGCAUAUCAAUAAGCGGAGGA
rnacentral:misc_RNA from 1 species